UAAUACUGGAUAGGCAAUUAUUCCUGUAAUGGUUUUUUGUUUAAAUGUUUUUUCGCCUAAGGAUGGGUCUGCGGCCGAUUAGGUAGUUGGUUAGGUAAUGGCUUACCAAGCCUUUGAUCGGUACGGGUUGUGAGAGCAAGAGCCCGGAGAUGGAACCUGAGACAAGGUUCCAGGCCCUACGGGGUGCAGCAGGCGCGAAACCUCCGCAAUGUGAGAAAUCGCGACGGGGGGAUCCCAAGUGCCAUUCUUAACGGGAUGGCUUUUCAUUAGUGUAAAGAGCUUUUGGAAUAAGAGCUGGGCAAGACCGGUGCCAGCCGCCGCGGUAACACCGGCAGCUCUAGUGGUAGCAGUUUUUAUUGGGCCUAAAGCGUCCGUAGCCGGUUUAAUAAGUCUCUGGUGAAAUCCUGCAGCUUAACUGUGGGAAUUGCUGGAGAUACUAUUAGACUUGAGAUCGGGAGAGGUUAGAGGUACUCCCAGGGUAGAGGUGAAAUUCUGUAAUCCUGGGAGGACCGCCUGUUGCGAAGGCGUCUGACUGGAACGAUUCUGACGGUGAGGGACGAAAGCUAGGGGCGCGAACCGGAUUAGAUACCCGGGUAGUCCUAGCUGUAAACGAUGCGGACUUGGUGUUG
rnacentral:rRNA from 1 species